GACGAACGCUGGCGGCGUGCCUAAUACAUGCAAGUUGAGCGCUGAAGGUUGGUACUUGUACCAACUGGAUGAGCAGCGAACGGGUGAGUAACGCGUGGGGAAUCUGCCUUUGAGCGGGGGACAACAUUUGGAAACGAAUGCUAAUACCGCAUAAAAACUUUAAACACAAGUUUUAAGUUUGAAAGAUGCAAUUACAUCACUCAAAGAUGAUCCCGCGUUGUAUUAGCUAGUUGGUGAGGUAAAGGCUCACCAAGGCGAUGAUACAUAGCCGACCUGAGAGGGUGAUCGGCCACAUUGGGACUGAGACACGGCCCAAACUCCUACGGGAGGCAGCAGUAGGGAAUCUUCGGCAAUGGACGAAAGUCUGACCGAGCAACGCCGCGUGAGUGAAGAAGGUUUUCGGAUCGUAAAACUCGGUUGGUAGAGAAGAACGUUGGUGAGAGUGGAAAGCUCAUCAAGUGACGGUAACUACCCAGAAGGGGACGGCUAACUACGUG
rnacentral:rRNA from 1 species